rnacentral:rRNA from 1 species
UACGUAGGGGACAAGCGUUGUCCGGAUUUACUGGGCGUAAAGGGCACGCAGGCGGUUUUUUAAGUCAGAUGUGAAAGGUACCGGCUCAACCGGUGACAUGCAUUUGAAACUGAAAGACUUGAGUAUUGGAGAGGCAAGUGGAAUUCCUAGUGUAGCGGUGAAAUGCGUAGAUAUUAGGAGGAGCACCGGUGGCGAAGGCGGCUUGCUGGACAAAUACUGACGCUGAGGUGCAGGAGAGGGCAAUGGAAUU